rnacentral:rRNA from 1 species
CGCGUAGGCGGCUUUAUAAGUCGGGGGUGAAAGCCUGUGGCUCAACCACAGAAUUGCCUUCGAUACUGUAGAGCUUGAGACCGGAAGAGGUAAGUGGAACUGCGGGUGUAGAGGUGAAAUUCGUAGAUAUUCGCAAGAACACCAGUGGCGAAGGCGGCUUACUGGUCCGGUUCUGACGCUGAGGCGCGAAAGCGUGGGGAGCAAACA